rnacentral:tRNA from 1 species
GGGGGUAGAUAGAUGCUGGUGUGUCUGCUGGUCUUCAAAACCAUGUUGCGGCGUUAAGAGCGUCGUGGGUGAGUUCGAUUCUCACAUACUCCCGCCA